ACAAUUUUGUUUAAUUCGGUAUUUAUAGCUUCUCGCUCCCUUCCUCGCUUCUCCGGCGACCUCUCCUCCCCUCCGCUUGCGAUCGCAGGAUCCCGAUAGGACGGCCAGACGAUGGCCGACGGAGUUCGCUAGUGCCGUCGAGGACGUCCUCAAGCUGGCAAAGCGGAUAUACGCCGGGAUGGACUGGCACUUCGCGCCGCCCCGGCCAGUUGGCGGGAUGGAGCGAUCGCCGUCGUCCCUCCUACAAAUGGCGCCGAUGGUGGACGCCGCCGUCGACGACCAGGGAUCGUCGACAUACGGCUACCAGCACCACGUGUACGGCCGCCGCGACCCGCCGGCGCUGAUCCCGCUCCGUGGAGGCGGACUGCUUCUUGGACGCGGCCUUCGUUGUCAUCCGCGGUCGGUGGCGCGCCCACUGCGUCAUGCGGAGACGGAGCUGCGACUGCCGCCUCGUCGUCCCCGUGGGUGAGCAGGCGCGGACUUCUCUUGUGGAAAUGUGCUUCUUUUCUUGAUUUUUUUUCUUCUUAUAAUUUCUUGCUAAUUUCUGUUGAUCUAAAUGUUUCCUUAGAAAAGUUGGAAUCUUGAGGAGUUUUUAUGUUGAAAGAUGCCAACUUGGAGGUGUCGAGUUUGAAGUAGAUAGAAAAUUGUACUCCACUCACAUGAUCGAUGGAGAAGAAAAUCAGAACAUGGAAAAGCCUGCAAGAAAUGGAGGCGGCUUUCUGAAACCGCAGCUGUUUUCCUUGAUGAGCUCCGAGGUGACUUAGGGUUAGUGGAGGAUCUGACAUCUGUCUUGCAGUCAGAUGGUCUCAGAAGUUACUGUAUAAAGAUGGCCAGUUCUCUAUUACCAUACCUUUUAAUUUUCCAGAAUAUGUAACUCCAUUUGCAAAAACAUUUUCAAAAGGGGAAAAAAUUCAGUUGAAUGUUAAUAAUGGUUCUGGAAAGGAAGUUUUGUUGCAGACUACGAGCCAUGCUUUGAAGGUGAACAUAUCUGUACUAUAUUUGUAAAUACCUACCCUGAAGUCUGAUUUAGCUGCAAGUCAAAGCUAAACCAUUUUACUGACUGGCACUGCUUCUUGUCAUUUCGGGAAAGAAGUCACCAAGCUGGAAAAUUUACUUUCUUGUACGAAGCAGUUCUUGCGCAUUGUUCUUGUAAAGAUUUUUCAUAUAGAGUAAGUACCAAAUACCAACUUUGUUGAGAGUUUCUAAAUCUAUUUUUGAUGAAUUUAAUAUAAAUUCGAAGUUGUGCUGUGUCUGAAUCCAUCAUUGCAUGCACAAAAAUCUGAUGAUAUUAGUUAUAUAUGAUUGCACACCAAAACAAGAUAAGCAUAAUCUGAGAUGUAAUUAGUUUCUUUAUACUUUUUCUAUAAAUUUCAUGUAUUCUGCAGAUCCUCAUUUUACCUUUCGAAACUCAUGGUGCAAGAUUUGGGACUGAUACUUUAGCUUUGGAGCAUAAAGCCAAACAUCUACACUUACAUGAACCUACACUCAAUCAGAAAGCACCACAGUAAAAGUCCAGGUAUAGGUAUAUGCAUGCCAUGUGCAUAUUCAUAUAGAAUGUAGGAAUGCAUGAGAAGAUAAAUGUGUUAAACAUGUAUCUCUAGGAUUGUGCACAUAAUUGGUAGGCUGGGAUAUUAUCUUUAAUCUCCCUUUCUAGUUUCUACACUUUAAGAUUGAUCUUACUACUAGAAUAUCAUAUUCAUGUAUUUGAUGAUGAGGAAAGUUGUGUGGCAACUUUAGAGUAAAUUAGAUGCAGAGGAGUUAAUGUUCUCGAAAGUUGAGCAAUGACCUUGACUUAGUGGUCACAAGGAAUUACUGCAUUAAGGUUUGAGCCAUGAAGUUACAUUUUAUUUGUCAAAGACAGAUCCACAGACAAGCUGGCAUGAUAUAAAAACAAGCUGCACCAAGUUAAGUCAAUUGCAAUAGAUUUGACAAACAAGUUCAUAGAUGAAAUUGAUUGGAAGAUCUUGACUUUAUCUGAAACAAAUUGAUUUAUUGUUGGUAAGUUGGUGCUUCAGAAUCAAUAUUUUAAACCUUGAAUUGCAGAAGUGCCAUGCACCAUUGAAUUUAGAAAUGUGUGUACAUAUUGAAAAUAGUUUCAAGUUAUAGCAUUGAACUUAGGUAAAAAUUAGUAAAGCUAGAGAAGUUACCAAUGAAGUAGAAAUAACAAUGUAACUCUAUUAUUAAAAAGGGAGAUGAACAAUUUUAAAAAUUGUGGAAAGUUUUGUUUGACUUAAUAAAAGAGGGAAGAUCUAAGCACUUAGUCAUCGUAUGCUCCAUAUAGUGCCACUUAAAAAUCCUAACUAAAAAGACUUCAAAUUCAAACUCUAUAUAAUAAUUAUUUCUGUUUGCUCCAUCUUGUGAUCUCUUAUGCUGCACUAAUUUAAGAUUAACUCUUUAUAAUAAGCUAUUAAAUCAACAAAUUGUUUGGGUUUCCAAAUUAAUGAACAGAUAAAAUUGUUAAUUUAUCGCUUGUAAAGAAAAAUUACACUAAUAACUGAACUAAAGAAGAUGGAUCUUCGAACUGAAGUUCAACUUUUGCCAUCAGCUUUCAUUAUUCACUCUAGGUUUUUGGUUCUGAACUUCAGCUUUUUUCUCACUUGAAAAGUUUUUUACAGAUUUAUUAAAAUGAUUUGUUUGGUGCAUACUCCUAGUGUCCUACAGUCUCCAACAAUGUAUGACUAUGAUCAGAGAGAGAUGUUCUGCUUCUAUCUUUUUCCUGGAAAUAACCAGAACAGAAAGGUGCAUCAAUGUUUUGGUCUUUCCCUUCACUGCUAUACUCAUUCAUCUCCAGUUCAAACACACAGCUCUUUGUUUUCUCAUUCUUCUUUCCCCAAUGUUUAUGCAUAUAUAUGACUAUAAUACAAAAUGUUUCAUUCAUGAGUCAAAGGUUGUACAUCUGCAGAGGACAUUGAUGGCUACAUUUGUAAUGAGAGGUAUGGCUUAAUACACACACAUAUUCCUCUCAACUAUGGCUUGAGGUCCAAAGAGUAAUUGUAGUUCUGCUGUUACAUUGAUCUUGUUCACAAUUUCAGUUACAUGGUUCAUGAUCUGAUUGUUACCACACAAACACAAACAAACACAGGGCAACUCCUUUAAAUAUGGCAUGAAGUCCGAAGAGCGGUUGCUAUUUCUGCUGUUACAUUGAUCUUGUUCGCAAUUUUCAGUCACAUGCUUCAUGAUCUGAUUACUAAAUUUGCAUUUUUUGAUAACUUCUGCCAACUCUUCCUCUUAAGGUUCUUGUGGGCAGCUAUGUUAUUUCUUGCAAAAUUUGGAGUUAGUACUAGUUCUGGGUAGCUCUUUCUUUAUUAGUUUACAUCUCAAAGACUAAAGUUAGUUUCAUAACAUAUGGUCAACUUGUUCAUCAAUUACUCCUAGGUUGCCCGCAAGAAAUUUCCACCUUUUGUCCAUAGAUAUGGUCACUGUGUUUCCAUAAAAGAUUCGAAUAACUGUGAAUUAUGAGCAUAGUAUGAAGAAGCCUCUCCAGGAGGCCAAUCGCAUUACUGAGGAAAGCUGUCUUAGAAGAAUUCUGUACUGCAACUUUGCUAGCCAGAAAAUUAAUUGGAAAUAAUAACAAUUUCAAGCAUAUUACUCGGCUGGGAUUGUGACCUGAUUAAUUUUCAAUAAAGACAUAAUUCCUUGAGAGAGAAAAUGUGAUGAGAACAAGUCUAGAUAUUCUGAGACUACUGCUCGGUAUAGAUACACAUUGAGCCAAAAAUGUUCCAACACUCAAUUAUUAAUGGAUAACAAUAUAUCCUAUCAGUGUGAGCUUGUAAAACAUCAAUUUGUGAGCAUUGAAUUGUGACUGGCUUGCUUCAGCAUAUAUUUAUCAGAAUUUUUUAUGCGUGGGAAUGCAAGGCUUUUCAAGGCUUGGUUUUGUCUUAUUUUCUGUUUUGCAUUUUGUAAUGUUGCUAGUAUGUAUAAGAUUCUCAACCAGAAACCAAUAGUAAUACUAUUUAGUGGAAGAUACGGCCAUAUCUUGAUCUUGGAUUCUCAAAGUGACCUGUUGAUUAUUGACUUAAUGAUUACGGUCAACUGUCACUUUCUAUCUCUGAAAAAUGUAGGAAAAUGUUAAAAUAUUAACCAUCUCAUAGACAACCUGAAAAAUCAGGACUAGUGCCCGGUGACUUGUGGGUAAGGUGAAGGGCCACAAAUUCUCUUCAUGCAUAUAGCUUUAUUAGGUUUGUAUGGUGCAUGUAUGCUUGCAUUCACAUGUAUGCUUCCAUAUACUUUCACCAUAAAAAGCCUCCUCGCUUAUUGAAUUCUAUAUUUGUAAUUUCAUGAUAAGAGGCUUAGAAUAGGUCUUAUUCAGUGAGUGCCAUGGUUGUACUCACAUGGCUUAAUUUGUUUUUCUUUAUUUUCCUCCCAACCUUUUUCCUCUCGUAUCUGGAAUAGCCAACAGAUACCAUCUUGAUGAGUUAAACAAAUAUUAUAUGAUAAAGGUCAACUUAUCAUCUCAACAUUGCGAGCAGUUGAUAGUAGCAGCAAACUAGGAAAAAAAAACUCUUGACAUGAUACACAACAUAAUACCCUGAUGAAUUCUAUUGUGUUCCUCUUCCUCAAUCCACUGUAUGUUAGAUUCAACAAGUUGGGCUUUUAAGUAUAUUCAUGUUUCUCCAGAAAGGCCCAUGCCUUCUUUUCUGCCAAUGCUAUGCAAAGAGAAAAUUACUGACUGAUAACAGUAUUUCUACCUUCAUAUCUAUUCUAUAUUUGAAGCAAACUUCCAAGCUGCAUUUGUGGGGCUCUGCUCAGGAGGUUGUCCAUCUCGCUCACAUGUAUCACAUGUGAAAUUAUCCAAUUUAAAAUAAAAAUCUGAUUGCCACUGAAGUACCUGGACUCUGAUGGAUCAUGGAAACUCAUUCUACAGGAAAAGAAACAUGGCUUCCAAAAUCAUACAGGCCCUAAAAGCGACUCAGAAAUUUUGGUUCGUGGCCUGAUCGUUGGAUUUGGAAAUGCAACUGCAACCUCAGAAAAUCUCCCCACAGGGUUUAAUGAGCUGAAGCCACCUGAGACCAACUAUGUCUAAUGAGAAAGCUGUCAGAUGCCGUGACAACUACUGUUGCUUCAUGUAUAUAAUAAAAGCAUGCUCGAAGCUGAACGAUUGGCUUGCGGCACAAAAACACAGUGCUGCACUGCUUUUAUGAUGCCUUGGCUGCUUUAAAAUCUGCUGCCUGCCAUGCUGUGAAGGCUUUGAAUAGUUCAUCUGUGUUAAUUCUCCUCUGUAUAGUUUAUGUAGUCAUUUGUCUCUGUUUUCCCUCAUCACAUGUAAAUAAUGUCCACAAAGAGAUGAUUGUAUACAUUGUUCUGUAACAUACUGCUCCCGCAAGCAAUUUUCUUUUCUGAAAUAUGCUUUAAACAAAUCUUAAUGUAACAAUCAGAUAUAUUGCAUUUAAUGAAUUUUGGUUUCUACU